UACGGAAGGCAGCAGUGGGGAAUAUUGCACAAUGGGCGCAAGCCUGAUGCAGCCAUGCCGCGUGUAUGAAGAAGGCCUUCGGGUUGUAAAGUACUUUCAGCGGGGAGGAAGGCGAUGCGGUUAAUAACCGCGUCGAUUGACGUUACCCGCAGAAGAAGCACCGGCUAACUCCGUGCCAGCAGCCGCGGUAAUACGGAGGGUGCAAGCGUUAAUCGGAAUUACUGGGCGUAAAGCGCACGCAGGCGGUCUGUUAAGUCAGAUGUGAAAUCCCCCGGGCUUAACCUGGGAACUGCAUUUUGAAACUGGCAGGCUUGAGUCUUGUAGAGGGGGUAGAAUUCCAGGUGUAGCGGUGAAAUGCGUAGAGAUCUGGAGGAAUACCGGUGGCGAAGGCGGCCCCUGGGACAAAGACUGACGCUCAGGUGCGAAAGCGUGGGGAGCAAACGAGGAUUAGGAUACCCGGU
rnacentral:rRNA from 1 species